GUCUUCGAGUCGUUGAUUUCACACUGCCGAGAAAAACCUCUAGAUAGAAAAUAGGUGCCCGUACCGCAAACCGACACAGGUAGUCAAGAUGAGAAUUCUAAGGUGAGCGAGCGAACUCUCGUUAAGGAACUCGGCAAAAUGACCCCGUAACUUCGGGAGAAGGGGUGCUCUUUAGGGUUGACGCCCAGAAGAGCCGCAGUGAAUAGGCCCAAGCGACUGUUUAUCAAAAACACAGGUCUCUGCUAAACCGUAAGGUGAUGUAUAGGGGCUGACGCCUGCCCGGUGCUGGAAGGUUAAGAGGAGUGGUUAGCUUCUGCGAAGCUACGAAUCGAAGCCCCAGUAAACGGCGGCCGUAACUAUAACGGUCCUAAGGUAGCGAAAUUCCUUGUCGGGUAAGUUCCGACCCGCACGAAAGGCGUAACGAUUUGGGCACUGUCUCAACGAGAGACUCGGUGAAAUCAUAGUACCUGUGAAGAUGCAGGUUACCCGCGACAGGACGGAAAGACCCCGUGGAGCUUUACUGUAGCCUGAUAUUGAAAUUCGGCACAGCUUGUACAGGAUAGGUAGGAGCCUUUGAAACGUGAGCGCUAGCUUACGUGGAGGCGCUGGUGGGAUACUACCCUAGCUGUGUUGGCUUUCUAACCCGCACCACUUAUCGUGGUGGGAGACAGUGUCAGGCGGGCAGUUUGACUGGGGCGGUCGCCUCCUAAAAGGUAACGGAGGCGCUCAAAGGUUCCCUCAGAAUGGUUGGAAAUCAUUCAUAGAGUGUAAAGGCAUAAGGGAGCUUGACUGCGAGACCUACAAGUCGAGCAGGGUCGAAAGACGGACUUAGUGAUCCGGUGGUUCCGCAUGGAAGGGCCAUCGCUCAACGGAUAAAAGCUACCCCGGGGAUAACAGGCUUAUCUCCCCCAAGAGUUCACAUCGACGGGGAGGUUUGGCACCUCGAUGUCGGCUCAUCGCAUCCUGGGGCUGUAGUCGGUCCCAAGGGUUGGGCUGUUCGCCCAUUAAAGCGGUACGCGAGCUGGGUUCAGAACGUCGUGAGACAGUUCGGUCCCUAUCCGUCGUGGGCGUAGGAAAUUUGAGAGGAGCUGUCCUUAGUACGAGAGGACCGGGAUGGACAUACCUCUGGUGUACCAGUUGUCGUGCCAACGGCAUAGCUGGGUAGCUAUGUGUGGACGGGAUAAGUGCUGAAAGCAUCUAAGCAUGAAGCCCCCCUCAAGAUGAGAUUUCCCAACUUCGGUUAUAAGAUCCCUCAAAGAUGAUGAGGUUAAUAGGUUCGAGGUGGAAGCAUGGUGACAU
rnacentral:rRNA from 1 species